rnacentral:rRNA from 1 species
CGCGUAGGCGGUGCCACAAGUCACCUGUGAAACCUCCGGGCUCAACUCGAAGCUUGCAGGCGAAACUGUGGUGCUGGAGUAUGGAAGAGGUGCGUGGAAUUCCCGGUGUAGCGGUGAAAUGCGUAGAUAUCGAGAGGAACACCUGUGGCGAAAGCGGCGCACUGGACCAUAACUGACGCUGAGGCGCGAAAGCUAGGGGAGCAAACAGGAUUAGAUACCCUGGUAGUCCUAGCCCUAAACCAUGGAUGCUUGGUGUAGCCGGUACCCAAUCCGGCUGUGCCGAAGCUAACGCGAUAAGCAUCCCGCCUGGGGAGUACGGUCGCAAGGCUGAA